UUCAACUUUCAUCAGCAGCUAUUUUAAAAGAUGAACGCAGCAUCCUCCACUUUGUUCACGAAGAAAAAAAGUACAUGUACCACUUAGGUCUAGGUAGUCUUUUGUAGAUGGUAACUGUCAGAUAUGCUCUGGUAUGAAAGUGGUAUCUACAGAGGAAUCAGAAUAGAGCAUUUGUUAUCAACUCAAAAGUCGCUCUUGCAAUGAUGCACUUUGAAAUGGGUCCUGAUCAUGUUGUGAAUUUUCUCAGCACAUUUAACAUAUACCCCUUCCUGAUCUUAAGAAGGAGAAAUGUAUAGCAUUGUCACUUAUGGAUGAGGCAUCUGAAUCCUGCAAAACUGCCAGUGCCGAAGAAAAAGCUAGUUCUCCUAGUGAUGAAUUGGAAUGCAGUUUUGAAGCUGAUUGGCAAAAAAGAGGCACUGGUUGUCAAUAUAACAGUAACACAGGGUCAAGUAAAGGCAUGGAGCCUGAAAUGGCUUUAUCCAUGGUUACAGUAGUAUGGACGACAGAGGGUGCAAAGUUGGCAUUAUUCACACAGACAAUGACUCUUCAACAACAUCAAGGCUGAAGCAAAAGUUUGCAAAGAUAAAAAAAGACAACAUUAGAAUCAUGUUAAAAAAACUGUUGAAACAACUGUAUUCAGCAGCAAAUAAGUACAAAGAACUGAAGGGGAAAGGAGUUAUUCCUUACAUACUCAGAUGCUAUAUGUAUGCUUUAAGUUCAAAACAGCUAAAGGAGGAUGAUCUUUGUGAAAGAUUAGACAGUAUAGUCCCACACCUAUUUGGAGACCAUUCAGGCUUGGGGAUUGGUGCACAUAUUUCAAGCAACCAGAAACUUACAGAUAUAAACAUCUCCAAAAAGGUGAACCAUUGACAAAUGCAAACCUGCGUAAGCACUUAGAGACAGUGACAGAAAAUUUACCAAAAAAGAUCAAGCCAACUUGUAGAUUUAGGCUCAAAACAGAGCAAUGAAAAUUUCAACAAUAUAGUGGCAAAUCAUAUGGUGGAACCAGUGUAUUAAAAGCAAGAGAUUCAGCUGCAGUUCUUUAGAAGAAUGAAGGUUAUACCUGGGUUAACAAGGUUAACAAGAAAGCAUUACUGUCACCAGGCACAAUCUUUGUUAGAGUUGGACAAAGGAUUGACAGAAAGAGACUGGCAAAAGAAGAAUAGCUCCUUUGUUCAAUUCAAACAUGACAGAUUUAAAAGAAAGAUACAGGUAUAUUGAUGUUACCUCCAUGAAAUGUUUUGAAGUGAUAAUUUCAAUGUGGAUAGGAAAGAGGACCAAGAAUAGGUAGUGUACCUCUAAUUUAAAAUUUAGUAUAUUAACUAUUCUUCAAUUGUAGCAUGAUGUGAUAUAAGAGAAGUUAUCUCAAUAAUAAUUACUGUCAAUUCAGAAAUUAUUGCAAGGUUUUUAUUAUUGCCAAUAUUGUGAAUGGAUUAUGAUCGCAAUAAUUAAAACUGGCAUUUUGAUUUUUUUUGUUUGAACUAGACAGGAUUUUUUUCUGAAAAUCAUAAACAUUAAAAUCGCAUUUUAGUUUAAAAUGACAAAAGCGCAAUAAUAAAUGCACGCAAUAAUUUCUUCAUUUACAGUACACCAUAACUUUAAAAAUAUAAGCACCACAUGUAUCAUCAUACAGCAGAUAUAGGUACUAACCGAGCGAGCAUGAGCAAUUUUGAUGUUACACGGUAACGAAAAUCUUUGUUUUGUUCGCAUAAUAUCAAUGUGUACUUCAAUCUAAAAAUAAUUGCUGUUUUAAGAAUUGAUUUGGUCCUAGGUUGAUGGUAAGAGAUGUCUCAUUAUUUUCCCAAAACAUGAGAGAUUACUAAAACAAUGUAAAAGCAUGUGCAAAGACUUUUCAAAGAAGUUGGCCCUGGUCUCAUCCGAUAUAAAUCUAUAUUUAUUGCAUCUCUUUUUCUGAUAGAAGGUCAAUGUGUGUGUGUUAUAAGUAUAGCCCCUUUCAAUAAUUGGCAUUGAAAUCUUUCAUACAUAUGUUAUUUUUUUAUAUUUUAACCCUAAAAAAGUGUUGUGUACGGUGUUUAGCUGACCACAUAAAUCCUUAUAUUACGAAUUACAAAUGUGACGAGGAUUGAUUGGAUAACAACACAGAGAUGUCAGUAUAUAUUCAGGAAACUGCCCGGGUAUAUACAACGUUUUUAUCCCCAAUUCGUUGGAACCUCAAAAACAUCAUCAUAACACCGGUAACUAUGUGACGUAGUCAAAAGCUAUCAGACUGUCAGAGGCUAAAAGAGGGAUAAUAAUAUGUGCUUCAGUCAAUAAUACAUUUUUAAUACAAAAUCACUCAAUUUAAACUUUUAAUACUGACAUUAAAUGUUAAAAGUGUUAUUAUAAAUAAUAACAUACAAGAUGAAAUUAUGUUCACAGCAAAUAAGAAAAUCCUUCACGAUGCCGAACAUAGAUAUCAGGUUGGGUUUUUCAAUAUAUAUGUGAUGUCAACAAAUACCUGCACUGGGAAAUAACAUUAAGGAUGUACUUAGGAAUAGUGAAACAGAAGUCAAUAAGAUCUUGCUCAAUCCUGUGUUGCUUUGAAGGUUUCCUGAUUGUCAUGACAUUCUCAGCCUAAGCAAUGUGUAUUACUGUAAUUUGAAUUUUGAAAUGACCGAGUGACGUUUUUUCAACACACUGAUCAACUCCACCAAAGCAAAUCACAUGACUUUGACAGUCAGUAAAUACCAGCGAAAAAUAUCUUUAUAAGAAAAGAAUUGUCGUAUUAAUCAUUUAAAAAAAAAGAAAAAAAACAGUUCGAGCAAAAAAGGGGGGGGACGCCCUCUAUCCCCCCCCCUCUGAAUCUGCCACUGACUACAGUAACUUGAGUUAAAUUUACCGCAACUACCAGAGCAAACAGUCAUUGUAGACGAAGGGUUGAUUAUAGAAGAGAAAGUUUUAAGUGCCCGAGAGCAACCAUGGAGGUCCGGGAGGCAGAUUGUUGAGUUGGGUAUGCUGGCAGAUGCACUUUAAGGAUGCAGCAAGUGUGGCCUGCCUCUCCAACUGCAUCAUGCCACAGCCUCCAUUAAUUAUGGACUAUCUGCUAUAUUAAAGAUACCAUGUUCAAACCUUGUCUGUAGAUCUGUUAACCAUGUACCAACUGCAUGGUAAAAGACACAACAGAACUUGGGAUUCUAACACAAAGCUUGCAUCAGCCAUGAUUCAUGCUGGUAUAGGAGAAAGGCAAGUCAAUAGCCUUCUUUCAGGGCUGAAUAUUCCACAUGUCAGUACAUAGACUGUUUUGGCAAGGCAAAAUGAAGCAGGCAUUAAAGAAUACUUAUUUUGUAUCAUAUUGUUGAUCUAAAGUGCAUUAGUGUAAUGGAAUAUAUAUGAGAUUUAUAAGUGUUAAUUCCAAAAAGAAAGUAGUGAAAAGGAAAUGCAUUUAAAUCUGU